rnacentral:rRNA from 1 species
AACGAACGCUGGCGGCAUGCCUAACACAUGCAAGUCGAACGAAGGCUUCGGCCUUAGUGGCGCACGGGUGCGUAACGCGUGGGAAUCUGCCCUUAGGUGCGGAAUAACUCAGGGAAACUUGAGCUAAUACCGCAUAAUGACUCCGGUCCAAAGAUUUAUCGCCUAAGGAUGAGCCCGCGUAGGAUUAGCUUGUUGGUGAGGUAAAAGCUCACCAAGGCGACGAUCCUUAGCUGGUCUGAGAGGAUGAUCAGCCACACUGGGACUGAGACACGGCCCAGACUCCUACGGGAGGCAGCAGUGGGGAAUAUUGGACAAUGGGCGAAAGCCUGAUCCAGCAAUGCCGCGUGAGUGAUGAAGGCCUUAGGGUUGUAAAGCUCUUUUACCCGGGAUGAUAAUGACAGUGCCGGGAGAAUAAGCCCCGGCUAACUCCGUGCCAGCAGCCGCCGUAACAC